rnacentral:rRNA from 1 species
CGAGGAAUAUUGCGCAAUGGGGGCAACCCUGACGCAGCAACGCCGCGUGAGUGAGGAAGGUUUUCGGACCGUAAAGCUCUGUCGAGCGGGAAGAAAUGCAUGGUGGCUAAUAUCCAUCAUGCUUGACGGUACCGCCAAAGGAAGCACCGGCUAACUCCGUGCCAGCAGCCGCGGUAAUACGGGGGGUGCGAGCGUUGUUCGGAAUUAUUGGGCGUAAAGAGCGUGUAGGCGGCUGAAUAAGUCAGAUGUGAAAUCCCUGGGCUUAACCCAGGACGUGCAUUUGAAACUAUUCGGCUAGAGUAGGGGAGAGGAAAGUGGAAUUCCUGGUGUAGAGGUGAAAUUCGUAGAUAUCAGGAGGAACACCGGUGGCGAAGGCGACUUUCUGGCCCUAUACUGACGCUGAGACGCGAGAGCGUGGGUAGCAAACAG